rnacentral:rRNA from 1 species
GAUGAACGCUGGCGGCGUGCUUAACACAUGCAAGUCGAACGAAGCACUUUAUUACGAUUUCUUCGGAAUGACGAUUUAGUGACUGAGUGGCGGACGGGUGAGUAACGCGUGGGUAACCUGCCUUAUACAGGGGGAUAACAGUUGGAAACGACUGCUAAUACCGCAUAAGCGCACGGUAUCGCAUGGAUACAGUGUGAAAAACUCCGGUGGUAUAAGAUGGACCCGCGUCUGAUUAGCUUGUUGGUGAGGUUAACGGGCCCACCCAAGGCGACGAUCAGUAGCCGGCCUGAGAGGGUGAACGGCCACAUUGGGACUGAGACACGGCCCAGACUCCUACGGGAGGCAGCAGUGGGGAAUAUUGCACAAUGGAGGAAACUCUGAUGCAGCGACGCCGCGUGAGUGAAGAAGUAAUCGUUAUGUAAAGCUCUAUCAGCAGGGAAGAUAGUGACGGUACCUGACUAAGAAGCUCCGGCUAAA